rnacentral:lncRNA from 1 species
UUCAGGCCCUAAUGGAAUUACUUUGAGCGAAACCUGGUUAUUCAUGGUUCACCUCCUGCAUCAGCUGAUGCCAGGAACUCUUCUCAGGAUGCGUGGAGGGGAGCAUGAAAGUAGAUCUGUUGGUGAAAGCUCUUGAGAGGUAAAAAGACAGAGAGAAAAUGAGACUCUGCAGAAAAGUCAAUUUUCAUGACCAAGGUCACCUCAGGCCUUGC